ACGGCCAAUCAGCGUCUGCCACAGCCGCAGCUCCCAUGAGCCAGCGCGCGCAAGAAGUCUACUUAGAACGAUGCGAACGCAAGGUCGCCCCAUUCCAGCCAGCUGCAGGCUUCGAGAGCUGCGCAGCCCUGUGAGAGGUAUCGCGCACCCCACGACCCUGGUCGAGGCGUCGGCGAGUAUGAUAACCGGCCCCUCGGCUCUGCUACCGUCACGAGAAGGAGGAUUUCCUUGGGCUACCUGGUUGUUGCAGCCGACCGCAUCGAGCACUUCCGUACCAGCGGGUCUCGCCACGUCGACAGCAAGACUCCUCGGCAAUGCGAUCUUUGUACGGCCUCUUGACAAGGUGUGGAAAAAGUUCGGACCACGCCCCCUCGGCGAGGUGAUGUUCUCGGCAAACGAGAUGGUUAAACGUAGUGCUUGAGCCCGCCUCCUGACGUUGAAGAGGACAACGACAGCACGUGGGUUUCCACUGCUGCACCCUGUCGCUCGAGAUGCAUGCCACGUCGCCGUGAGGAACGAUUUCCUCGGUCUUACAGCUUGAGCCCGCCUCGUGACGCUUUCAGGGGACAUCGAGAGCGAGGGGGAGCUGAAGCUUCUGUGCUGAUCUCGAGAGGUAUGCUACGUCACCGUGAGAAGUGAAUUUCUCGUUCUCAUGGGUACGAUUGUGCUGAAUUGUCACAGCAUUGCGUUGCAUGCUGGUGAGAACCAUUUCUGUUUACAUAAGUACCUGGUCUCGCAGUUGCUGCAUGGUUUGGACGUGUAGUGUGCUAUCUGUUAUCUGCAGCAAUGCUGCAUUUCUUGCUACUGCGAC